UUAAGUUAUUAAGGGCGCACGGUGGAUGCCUUGGCACUAGAAGCCGAUGAAGGACGUUACUAACGACGAUAUGCUUUGGGGAGCUGUAAGUAAGCUUUGAUCCAGAGAUUUCCGAAUGGGGAAACCCAGCAUGAGUUAUGUCAUGUUAUCGAUAUGUGAAUACAUAGCAUAUCAGAAGGCACACCCGGAGAACUGAAACAUCUUAGUACCCGGAGGAAGAGAAAGAAAAUUCGAUUCCCUUAGUAGCGGCGAGCGAAACGGGAAGAGCCCAAACCAACAAGCUUGCUUGUUGGGGUUGUAGGACACUCUAUACGGAGUUACAAAGGACGACAUUAGACGAAUCAUCUGGAAAGAUGAAUCAAAGAAGGUAAUAAUCCUGUAGUCGAAAAUGUUGUCUCUCUUGAGUGGAUCCUGAGUACGACGGAGCACGUGAAAUUCCGUCGGAAUCUGGGAGGACCAUCUCCUAAGGCUAAAUACUCUCUAGUGACCGAUAGUGAACCAGUACCGUGAGGGAAAGGUGAAAAGCACCCCGGAAGGGGAGUGAAAUAGAACCUGAAACCGUGUGCUUACAAGUAGUCAGAGCCCGUUAAUGGGUGAUGGCGUGCCUUUUGUAGAAUGAACCGGCGAGUUACGAUUUGAUGCAAGGUUAAGCAGUAAAUGUGGAGCCGUAGCGAAAGCGAGUCUGAAUAGGGCGUUUAGUAUUUGGUCGUAGACCCGAAACCAGGUGAUCUACCCUUGGUCAGGUUGAAGUUCAGGUAACACUGAAUGGAGGACCGAACCGACUUACGUUGAAAAGUGAGCGGAUGAACUGAGGGUAGCGGAGAAAUUCCAAUCGAACCUGGAGAUAGCUGGUUCUCUCCGAAAUAGCUUUAGGGCUAGCCUCAAGUGAUGAUUAUUGGAGGUAGAGCACUGUUUGGACGAGGGGCCCCUCUCGGGUUACCGAAUUCAGACAAACUCCGAAUGCCAAUUAAUUUAACUUGGGAGUCAGAACAUGGGUGAUAAGGUCCGUGUUCGAAAGGGAAACAGCCCAGACCACCAGCUAAGGUCCCAAAAUAUAUGUUAAGUGGAAAAGGAUGUGGCGUUGCCCAGACAACUAGGAUGUUGGCUUAGAAGCAGCCAUCAUUUAAAGAGUGCGUAAUAGCUCACUAGUCGAGUGACACUGCGCCGAAAAUGUACCGGGGCUAAACAUAUUACCGAAGCUGUGGAUUGUCCUUUGGACAAUGGUAGGAGAGCGUUCUAAGGGCGUUGAAGCAUGAUCGUAAGGACAUGUGGAGCGCUUAGAAGUGAGAAUGCCGGUGUGAGUAGCGAAAGACGGGUGAGAAUCCCGUCCACCGAUUGACUAAGGUUUCCAGAGGAAGGCUCGUCCGCUCUGGGUUAGUCGGGUCCUAAGCUGAGGCCGACAGGCGUAGGCGAUGGAUAACAGGUUGAUAUUCCUGUACCACCUAUAAUCGUUUUAAUCGAUGGGGGGACGCAGUAGGAUAGGCGAAGCGUGCGAUUGGAUUGCACGUCUAAGCAGUAAGGCUGAGUAUUAGGCAAAUCCGGUACUCGUUAAGGCUGAGCUGUGAUGGGGAGAAGACAUUGNNNGUCUUCGAGUCGUUGAUUUCACACUGCCGAGAAAAGCCUCUAGAUAGAAAAUAGGUGCCCGUACCGCAAACCGACACAGGUAGUCAAGAUGAGAAUUCUAAGGUGAGCGAGCGAACUCUCGUUAAGGAACUCGGCAAAAUGACCCCGUAACUUCGGGAGAAGGGGUGCUCUUUAGGGUUAACGCCCAGAAGAGCCGCAGUGAAUAGGCCCAAGCGACUGUUUAUCAAAAACACAGGUCUCUGCUAAACCGUAAGGUGAUGUAUAGGGGCUGACGCCUGCCCGGUGCUGGAAGGUUAAGAGGAGUGGUUAGCUUCUGCGAAGCUACGAAUCGAAGCCCCAGUAAACGGCGGCCGUAACUAUAACGGUCCUAAGGUAGCGAAAUUCCUUGUCGGGUAAGUUCCGACCCGCACGAAAGGCGUAACGAUUUGGGCACUGUCUCAACGAGAGACUCGGUGAAAUCAUAGUACCUGUGAAGAUGCAGGUUACCCGCGACAGGACGGAAAGACCCCGUGGAGCUUUACUGUAGCCUGAUAUUGAAAUUCGGCACAGCUUGUACAGGAUAGGUAGGAGCCUUUGAAACGUGAGCGCUAGCUUACGUGGAGGCGCUGGUGGGAUACUACCCUAGCUGUGUUGGCUUUCUAACCCGCACCACUUAUCGUGGUGGGAGACAGUGUCAGGCGGGCAGUUUGACUGGGGCGGUCGCCUCCUAAAAGGUAACGGAGGCGCUCAAAGGUUCCCUCAGAAUGGUUGGAAAUCAUUCAUAGAGUGUAAAGGCAUAAGGGAGCUUGACUGCGAGACCUACAAGUCGAGCAGGGUCGAAAGACGGACUUAGUGAUCCGGUGGUUCCGCAUGGAAGGGCCAUCGCUCAACGGAUAAAAGCUACCCCGGGGAUAACAGGCUUAUCUCCCCCAAGAGUUCACAUCGACGGGGAGGUUUGGCACCUCGAUGUCGGCUCAUCGCAUCCUGGGGCUGUAGUCGGUCCCAAGGGUUGGGCUGUUCGCCCAUUAAAGCGGUACGCGAGCUGGGUUCAGAACGUCGUGAGACAGUUCGGUCCCUAUCCGUCGUGGGCGUAGGAAAUUUGAGAGGAGCUGUCCUUAGUACGAGAGGACCGGGAUGGACAUACCUCUGGUGUACCAGUUGUCGUGCCAACGGCAUAGCUGGGUAGCUAUGUGUGGACGGGAUAAGUGCUGAAAGCAUCUAAGCAUGAAGCCCCCCUCAAGAUGAGAUUUCCCAACUUCGGUUAUAAGAUCCCUCAAAGAUGAUGAGGUUAAUAGGUUCGAGGUGGAAGCAUGGUGACAUGUGGAGCUGACGAAUACUAAUCGAUCGAAGACUUAAUCAA
rnacentral:rRNA from 1 species